rnacentral:rRNA from 1 species
AUGAGUGAUAUGAGUGACUCCCCCAUAUGUGACAUUGAGUGCAUUUCCUAUGAGAGGAUGAAUGUGACCACCACUAGCCCCACACUUGAGAGCAUACUACACAUCCUAUGUGAGGAUGAGAGCCAUUUGAAUGACUCCACCAACCAUACGAGUGAGAGCAUUCAAGAGGGAGUGAGUGAUCCACAACACUUAGUGAGUGAGGUAGUUGAUAGGGCAUGUGAGGCCACUAUGAUUUCUAACGACUUACCCUCUACUUUGAGUGUGUUUUCUUCUUUGGUGCUAGGUCUCCUACAUGAUGACAUGCCUAUCUUCGAUGAGUCCAUACCUUCAAUGGAGACGAUGAUGGCCAUGGUGGACGAUGAUGCACCCCCACAUGGUUCCAUCAAGAUGAAGAGGAACACGACUUGGUCUUCGACACCUCACCUAAAACACAUGAGCGAUGCUCCAAAGGUACUCACAUAUACUCGUCAACCUCUCAAUCCCAAGAGUUGA